rnacentral:rRNA from 1 species
UGGAGUCUGCAACCCGACUCCACGAAGUUGGAUUCGCUAGUAAUCGCGCAUCAGCCAUGGCGCGGUGAAUACGUUCCCGGGCCUUGUACACACCGCCCGUCAAGCCAUGGGAGCCGGGGGCGCCUGAAGUCCGGGACCGCGAGGACCGGCCUAGGGCGAAACUGGUGACUGGGGCUAAGUCGUAACAAGGUAGC